UAACGCGAAGAACCUUACCUACCCUUGACAUGUACCGAAGCCCGCUGAGAGGUGGGCGUGCCCGAAAGGGAGCGGUAACACAGGUGCUGCAUGGCUGUCGUCAGCUCGUGUCGUGAGAUGUUGGGUUAAGUCCCGCAACGAGCGCAACCCUUGUCAUUAAUUGCCAUCAUUCAGUUGGGCACUUUAAUGAAACUGCCGGUGACAAACCGGAGGAAGGUGGGGAUGACGUCAAGUCCUCAUGGCCCUUAUGGGUAGGGCUUCACACGUAAUACAAUGGCGCGUACAGAGGGUUGCCAACCCGCGAGGGGGAGCUAAUCUCAGAAAGCGCGUCGUAGUCCGGAUCGGAGUCUGCAACUCGACUCCGUGAAGUCGGAAUCGCUAGUAAUCGCGGAUCAGCAUGUCGCGGUGAAUACGUUCCCGGGUCUUGUACACACCGA
rnacentral:rRNA from 1 species